GACGAACGCUGGCGGCGUGCUUAACACAUGCAAGUCGAACGGUAAGGCCCUUCGGGGUACACGAGUGGCGAACGGGUGAGUAACACGUGGGUGAUCUGCCCUGCACUUCGGGAUAAGCCUGGGAAACUGGGUCUAAUACCGGAUAGGACCACUGCCUGCAUGGGUGGUGGUGGAAAGCUUUUGCGGUGUGGGAUGGGCCCGCGGCCUAUCAGCUUGUUGGUGGGGUGAUGGCCUACCAAGGCGACGACGGGUAGCCGGCCUGAAAGGUGACCGGCCACACUGGGACUGAGAUACGGCCCAGACUCCUACGGGAGGCAGCAGUGGGGAAUAUUGCACAAUGGGCGCAAGCCUGAUGCAGCGACGCCGCGUGAGGGAUGACGGCCUUCGGGUUGUAAACCUCUUUCAGCACCGACGAAGCGCAAGUGACGGUAGGUGCAGAAGAAGGACCGGCCAACUACGUGCCAGCCGCCGCAGUAA
rnacentral:rRNA from 1 species